AUAUAUAUAUAUGACUAAUUGCUGCUGGUUUGUUUCAGAUUAAACACCACAGUGACCAAUAGUCCAAAUAACACUGAUGUAGGAGAAGCUGAAGCUGUUUUAAAUAAGUCUCCUGAGCCUGGUCCUGCAGAGGAGAUAAGUCAGAAUGAAAACAAGUGGUACUAUGUCAUCCCCAAACUGUAACCUCCAGUCAGUGACUGUGUCAACAGUUGUUCAUUAUCAAUAACCAGUGCUACUACCAGAAUCUUCAUCCAGAUUCAGCAUCCAUUGUUUCGAACUUGACCAAACAUUGACAUGAUCUUUUCUAUGCUUCCUUAUUGUCCAUGAUUUGUGUCUGUUAGGUGCAUUGCAAUUCCAGAAUGCUUCAAGAAAUACUGUUGAAUAUAUUUAUGCCAUAAUUAAUUCUUGUAAUGUUGUCUGUGUUUUGAACUGAUAUCAAAGUGUUUCAUUUGCUAAUUGUACAUUUAUUGGACUCUUUUUUUUUUUAUGUAAUGCUACUUGGUGUUUAUAUUUUGUAAAGGGGGGCAUGUUUGUAUAUUCCUUUGUCUGUGUCAUGGUUAUGUUUACUACUGGUCUAAUUCUAUUGAAAUAAAUCUAUAUUAUACAGUA
rnacentral:sRNA from 1 species